rnacentral:rRNA from 1 species
GAUGAACGCUAGCGGCAGGCCUAAUACAUGCAAGUCGAACGAGAUCGUUGUAGCAAUAUGACAUGAAAGUGGCGCACGGGUGCGUAACACGUAUGCAAUCUACCUCUAAUUGGAGAAUAGCCUCGAGAAAUCGGGAUUAAUACUCCAUAACAUUAUUGAAUGGCAUCAUUUGAUAAUCAAACUUCCGGGGAUUAGAGAUGAGCAUGCGCAACAUUAGCUAGUUGGUAAGGUAACGGCUUACCAAGGCUACGAUGUUUAGGGGGUCUGAGAGGAUGACCCCCCACACUGGUACUGAGACACGGACCAGACUCCUACGGGAGGCAGCAGUAGGGAAUAUUGGGCAAUGGAUGAAACUCUGACCCAGCCAUGCCGCGUGCAGGAUGACGGCCCUCUGGGUUGUAAACUGCUUUUAUACGGGAAGAAAAAAUACUACGUGUAGUAUACUGACGGUACCGUAAGAAUAAGGAUCGGCUAACUCCGUGCCAGCCGCCGCUGUAAUAC